ensembl:lncRNA
CAAUUAUGUAAUUAUAAUUCUAUAAUAGAUUGAUCCAGAAUGUUAUUUUAUUUUCUAAAUAGUAAAAAAAUGGUGAUACCUGUCGUGAUGGGGCAUGACAAAAAAUAAAUAAAAAAAUAAAAUAAAUAAAUAAACCUUUUUUUCUAGACUCAGUGUGUAAUUCAGUCUGCCAUAGAAAGAUGGCGCUGUUGUAUCACAUUUUGGCCUGUAGGCUCAAACUAAAACGCUUUUUGUAAAGUUGCACACGCUUUCAUUCAGGUAUUCAACAUUAUUAAGCGCUUUGCUUGUGUUUUUGUGUGGAGGUCGUCAAGCAGCUGCACGUGUGGAAGAUUCCACAUGUAUUUGAAAAACUCAGGUGUGCACAGGUUUGUCUGGCUAAAUGAGACACUGGACUAUGAGAGCAGCCUGUGUUGUGUUCACAUGAGAAUACUUAUGGCAGGAAGCCUGGAACCUACAGACCCAAUCACUCAGAUACUGUUCAGAGCGCUGAGAUAAAGGCAUUUUAUGUUUCUUUUAUUGUAGCCAUUAAUUUAGUGUACUUGUUUCCAUACAAAUGUGUAGUAUAUUUUCAUCUGCUUUAUAUGUGUGCUUAUGUUUUUCUUUAAAUAACUUUUGGAUGCAUCUUAAUCAUUUUAAUUGAAUAUUUCAUCUAGAAUUUUGUAUUGUAUUUUGUUUAUAUUUAAGUAUAAGGGGAUCUAAAGGUUAAGAUGAUGAAAAAUAUAAAGCCAGUCAAAUGUGUCUACACUUUGAUUGGUAGCCUAAUGUAUAUUUUCAUCAGACAUAGGGUUCAUAGUACAUUAGGAAUCUGCAGUUGGACUGAACUGAAAUGGACUGCUAAAUGUUAAGUUGGGUUUUAGGUGCAAGUCUUGUAUUAACUCAUAUUUUCAUUUGGCCUAAUGACUAAUUUACUACGCCAUCACAGGACUCUGAACUCUCACAUCUGCAUUUCUUUUCUGGAAGUGGUAUUAUGUUAUGUGGUUGAAGAAGUUCUGGUAAGAAACCAUGGGAGAAGUUUUUGUAAGUAACGUCAUCAUUAUAUUAACUUCACAAAUUUGGGCAGUAAAUUUGGCAGUUUUUUUAAUUAAUUAAAUAAUUAAUACUUUUAUUUAGCAUGUAUACAUUAAAUGGAUCAAAAGUGACAUUUAUAAUGUUACAGAACAUUUCUAUUUUAAAUAAAUGCUGUUUCUAGUCAUUAAAGAAUUGUGAAAAGUAUCCUGGUUUCCACAAAAAAUAUUAAGCAGCACAUCUGUUUUCAACGUUGAUAAUAAUAUGAAAUGUUUCUUAAGCACCAAAUCAGCAUAUUAGAGUGAUUUCUAAAGGAACAGCUUUUCAUAACAGAAAUAAAUGACAUCCUAAAAUAUAUUUAAAAUGGCAAACAGUUCUUUUGAAUUGUAAUAAUAUUUCACAAUAUUACUACUUUUACUGUAUUUUUUGUCCAUCAAAUAAAUGCAGUCUUGGUGAGCAUAGGAGAUUUCUUUAAAUAUCUUGAAAUAAACCCCAAACUUAUUUAUAUGAGUUUUAUAAGAACCUUUCACUUUUUAUGAUCUUCGAUUUUUGUUUUAUGCUUUGAUGCGCUGAUGAAAACCUAAAAGUGAAACUUUACUUUAAACUUUCUACUUUAACUUCUCAUGUACUUUAAUUAGUCAAACACUCGCUGAAAUGUUCACAUUGUAUUUGUUCACAUUUUCAGUAACUGUGAAAAGAAUGAAAAUGUGACUAUUUAGUGAAGUCUGUUUGAAAUAAACUUGAGAGAUGGUUCCGAACUCCUAAUUUUGAAACUCUACAUGCGUCGCACCUGUUCAUUUAAUUGUAAGAAAUCAAUCUCUUGUUGCAAAAUUGAGUUAGCUCCCCUUCACUGCACACUCAGUCAGGUUAACAUGAUUAACUGCUAAUGAGGGGUUAUUUCUGUCACUGCUGCGUCAAAGGCUGCGUAAAGUGAGAGAGAGAGAGAGAGCACCUGUAAUUAAGAGCCAUUUGCUUAUCGUCUUGGAAAAAAUAAUCCCUUCAUUAUCA